rnacentral:rRNA from 1 species
UCUGCCCGUAUAUGCUGGCUAUCCGGAUGUUUAAAACGCAUCCGAAGAAAGGGCCGGGCAAGACCGGUGCCAGCCGCCGCGGUAAUACCGGCGGCUCGAGUGGUGGCCACUUUUAUUGGGCUUAAAGCGUUCGUAGCUUGAAUAAUAAGUCUCUUGGGAAAUCUGCAGGCUUAACCUGCAGGCGUUUAAGAGAAACUGUUGUUCUAGGAACCGGAAGAGGUGAGAGGUACUCCGGGGGUAGGAGUGAAAUCCUGUAAUCCCCGGGGGACCACCGAUGGCGAAGGCAUCUCACCAGGACGGCUUCGACAGUGAGGAACGAAAGCUGGGGGAGCGAACCGGAUUAGAUACCCGGGUAGUCCCAGCCGUAAACAAUGCGCGUUAGGUGA